CCCUGAUUACCAUAUGGAGCUGCAGCUGCCGCCACAAACUACAGCCAGGGAGGAGCAUGUCCAGAACCAGGAAGAUCACCUUAGUGGCAGCCCACAUUGGCUCGCCCUCCUCCCCUGCUUGGCUCCCCUGCUCCUCAUCCCAGCUCCCUGGGAGCUGGGAAAAGAGUACAAGGGAGGCUUUGCCUCAGGAUCCCUUUUUUCUCAGGCUGCUGUCCCACAGGUUUGCUACACUCCACGUUGCAAAUGAAGACAUAGGAAAAGGUCAUUCAAAUAGAAGGCUGAGACUAUGGCAGGCCAUCGGUUUGUUCUUUCUUCAGUUAUACAUUUAAAGAUCAUCUGACUUUGAAUGGACUGUCUAAAGCCAAAUCAUAAAUGCCUGAGGAAUCAAGGAAAAGAUGAAAUUGGAAAACCAGUGAUACUAUUUGAAUGUUGGUGUACCAGGUUGGAUAGUAAUUGCCCAUCCUCUGGGACAAGAGAGGUAAAGAAAUCAACUCUCAUUGGACUGGCGGUUACUUCUAAUUAUUAUUCUGGGAUCUGCCUGCUGCAUGAGACAUCCCUAUAUGUGCUCAACAGAGCUAACUCAUCUCUUUACCAUCAUUCAGCUUGUGGAUCCCAAUAUUUGCCAUGUGUUUGGUUGGCCUGUCUGCCUCUUGCCUGGAAACUUAGUAGAGAGGAAUCUAAGAUCACAAUGAAACAGAAAUUUUAUCUCCUAGAACAAGUGGCUGGAUUUGUUUUCCUUUAUUUUACAGAAAAUAAAAGCAAUGCAUAGUUGCAACUGGGUAGUGUAGUCCCCAUUACUGUAGUCCAAUAUUUGUAGACCCACAUAUUUGGGCUCUCUGUCCUGAGUUUCUCCAAGAAGAAACAAGCAAACCCAGGACAAGAGGAGAGUAAUAGGGUGUGCUCGCUUAAAAACAGGGCUGCUUGGGAAGAUGACAAAUAGUGUAAGGCUUAGAAAUGAAUAGGAUUCUAAUGAUUUCACCAUGGUAAUAUUACAAUGGCUUAUUCUCAGUAGUACUACAGGUAGAGACCAGCUUAAUGGCACUUGUUUAUAAACGUAAUGUAGAUUGCAAUUUGGAAACUGAAGAGAGAAAUCCUUUAGAUUAAAAAAUGUAUAGGGUUUUUAUGAGUAGCUGCAUUUAUGGGUGGCAGUCACUAUUCCCUCAGAAGGCUUUAAUAACUCUGGGGAACUUUCAUUAAAAGCUUUUCAUAACAAAGAUAUCAUUACUUUAAAAGGGCAAAUUUUUAUUACUACCCUGAAAGAUGCAGAGAAGCUUUGAAAACCAACUGAAGAACCUUAGGCAUGUUGCCUUACUGUGAUUGACAGUGAUCUGGAAGAAUUUCUGCCCAAACUGUACUAGAUUUGUAAAGAUUUCCAUAAUAGUGUACUAUUCAGACCAGCUUUUGUCCAAAGUUCUGAAACAGUGUAAGCGGUGUAUCAAGUUGAAGGACAUGAUUAGGAAGGUAGUUUUCUAACUUUGAGAGGAGAGUGGCUCCCCAGAGAGUCACUAACUACAUUUUCCCCAACUACAAUAUCCCUGGGGGAAGUAUUGGGUUCUUGGAAGGUGAGCAAAGGGCUGCCCAAGUUGCUGGGACAUGAGAGGAGGGAAAUGCCACCCAAACCCAGCAGUCAUCCAUUUGUGUUCCCCUCAGUGCUCCCAAUCUAGACCAUAGGAGCAGCAGUGUAGGCCAUGUUCUAUCAUUUGAUUUAAAAGGAGCACAUUCCCAGUGAAAUAAGCCAGGCGGAGAAAGACAAGUACCAAAUGAUUUCAUUCAUAUGUGGAGUAUAAGAAUAAAGAAAAAAUGAAGGAACA